AGCGAACGCUGGCGGCAGGCCUAACACAUGCAAGUCGAACGAACUCUUCGGAGUUAGUGGCGGACGGGUGAGUAACACGUGGGAACGUGCCUUUAGGUUCGGAAUAACUCAGGGAAACUUGAGCUAAUACCGGAUGUGCCCUUCGGGGGAAAGAUUUAUCGCCUUUAGAGCGGCCCGCGUCUGAUUAGCUAGUUGGUGAGGUAAAGGCUCACCAAGGCGACGAUCAGUAGCUGGUCUGAGAGGAUGAUCAGCCACAUUGGGACUGAGACACGGCCCAAACUCCUACGGGAGGCAGCAGUGGGGAAUCUUGCGCAAUGGGCGAAAGCCUGACGCAGCCAUGCCGCGUGAAUGAUGAAGGUCUUAGGAUUGUAAAAUUCUUUCACCGGGGACGAUAAUGACGGUACCCGGAGAAGAAGCCCCGGCUAACUUCGUGCCAGCCGCCGCUGUAAUAC
rnacentral:rRNA from 1 species